rnacentral:rRNA from 1 species
AGAGUUUGAUCCUGGCUCAGGAUGAACGCUAGCGACAGGCCUAACACAUGCAAGUCGAGGGGUAACAUGAGUGCUUGCACUUGAUGACGACCGGCGCACGGGUGCGUAACGCGUAUGCAACUUACCUUGUACUGGGGAAUAGCCCGUGGAAACGCGGAUUAAUGUCCCAUAACACUACAAUUUCGCAUGGAAAAGUGGUUAAAGUUCCGACGGUACAAGAUGGGCAUGCGUGACAUUAGCUAGUUGGUGAGGUAAUGGCUCACCAAGGCGACGAUGUCUAGGGGUUCUGAGAGGAAGGUCCCCCACACUGGUACUGAGACACGGACCAGACUCCUACGGGAGGCAGCAGUGAGGAAUAUUGGUCAAUGGGCGCAAGCCUGAACCAGCCAUGUCGCGUGCAGGAAGACUGCCCUACGGGUUGUAAACUGCUUUUGUAUGGGAAGAAACGUUGGUACGUGUACCAAUUUGCCGGUACCAUACGAAUAAGGAUCGGCUAACUCCGUGCCAGCAGCCGCGGUAAUACGGAGGAUCCAAGCGUUAUCCGGAUUUAUUGGGUUUAAAGGGUGCGUAGGCGGUAGAAUAAGUCAGUGGUGAAAUCCUGCAGCUUAACUGUAGAACUGCCAUUGAUACUGUUUUACUUGAGUGUAAUUGAGGUAGGCGGAAUGUGUUGUGUAGCGGUGAAAUGCAUAGAUAUAACACAGGACACCGAUUGCGAAGGCAGCUUACUAAGUUAUAACUGACGCUGAUGCACGAAAGCGUGGGUAGCGAACAGGAUUAGAUACCCUGGUAGUCCACGCCGUAAACGAUGAUUACUCGCUGUAGGCAAUACACCGUCUGUGGCUGAGCGAAAGCAUUAAGUAAUCCACCUGGGGAGUACGUUGGCAACAAUGAAACUCAAAGGAAUUGACGGGGGCCCGCACAAGCGGAGGAACAUGUGGUUUAAUUCGACGAUACGCGAGGAACCUUACCUGGACUUAAAUGUAGAUUGACGUAUCCAGAGAUGGAUAUUUCUUCGGACAAUUUACAAGGUGCUGCAUGGUUGUCGUCAGCUCGUGCCGUGAGGUGUCGGGUUAAGUCCCAUAACGAGCGCAACCCCUGUUGUUAGUUACCAGCACAUCAUGGUGGGGACUCUAACAAGACUGCCGGUGUAAACCGCGAGGAAGGUGGGGAUGACUUCAAAUCAGCACGGCCCUUACGUCCAGGGCUACACACGUGUUACAAUGGCCGGUACAGAGGGCAGCUACUUGGUGACAAGAUGCGAAUCUCAAAAACCGGUCUCAGUUCGGAUCGAAGUCUGCAACCCGACUUCGUGAAGCUGGAUUCGCUAGUAAUCGCAUAUCAGCCAUGAUGCGGUGAAUACGUUCCCGGGCCUUGUACACG